rnacentral:lncRNA from 1 species
CGUUUCCAUAUAAACCGAUUCAGCUAUUUAAAUAUGAUUGAAAAAAUAGAUUUUGGAAUUAUUUAAUUUAAUAUCCUUUAAUAAUUUUCUUUAGGUUUAUUUUCUUGUUUAUUUUAAAUAUCUGCUAUAUUGCAACCUUAGCUAUGACUUUUUAUAAUACUAUAUUACACUCACACUCAUUUACGGAAAGUUUGCAGCAAGAGGGGGUUCAGGUCAGAAAAGCGAACGGAUAUUUCAUUGAAGAAGAGGGUUGUUUCGCGAAUGCGUGCGGCCUUUGCGCGAAGUGGGGGGGCGCUUCCACCUUUCCGAUGACCCGUGGCGGACGUCAGUUUUACAUUUUCGGCCUGUAUUGUCUAUAGUGUGGU